ensembl:snRNA U1 U1 spliceosomal RNA
AUACUUACUUGGUGGGGGAUAACAUGAUCAUGAAGGUGGUUUAUUCAAAGCAAGACUUGUCCAUUGCACCUCAGGUGUACUAAUCCUUGCAAUUUUUUCACUUGUGGGCAACAAGCCCAGAAUUUGUGCUGUUGAGAAUCAUGCAUUCAUGCUUUCUCUCA